UCCACCCACACAGAGAACUACAGCUUUUGGC
rnacentral:piRNA from 1 species